AACCUUGCUCAUUUCCACCAGCUGCUAAGGCUUGAGAAAUUUGGGAUAUGCAUCUCAUGUACAAUUAUACUGUUCUCUAUUUUAAAAGAUGCUGCAACUCACAGUGCUUGUAUUUUUGUGUUUAUUUCUUGCUAAAGAUAUCUUCGGAUAUAUAGCAUUUCUUACUUUUUAGCAGAACGAGGCGACCUGCAUUGAUUUGAGAUUCUGCCCGUCAGUAACUAAAAUUACCUGAGACUCAGUCAUCAUAAAAUCAGAUUAUUCUACUACAAAGUGACACCCCUUGGAGAAGCCCUGGAAGAUGAGUCAUAAGAAGAGAGAGGCCACAUGAAGGAAAAUUGAGGAGCCCUGGCUAGCAGGAAGCACCAAGCCUUCAGAGUGUGAAUGAGCCCUCCCUGAACUUUUAGCUCCACCCAUUCCCCAGAAGAGGACAACUGGAUAAGUGAUCCCAACCAUACCUCCUAGAACAGAAGAACCACCCAAUUAACACACAGAAUCAUAAAAAAUGAUAACUUGUUGUUUCAACAUGCUGAGUUUUGGAGAAGUUUGUUAUGCAUAGAAAUCUAAACUCCUUGAUAUCACUUCCAAUAGAGCCAAUUUGCCAAAUCCCUUCAUAUGGGGUCACCUGCUUGAUUUCUCUUGCCUAAGCACCAACUUCUCCCCACCAUCAUUUAGAUGCUGGUUUACUUCCCAUUAUGAGGAAUAAAUCCUUUCGACACUAA